UUGUAGCUCCAUUGGUAGAGCAUGAGACUCUUAAUCUCAGGGUCAUGGGUUUAAGACUUAGGCUGGGCAAAA